AUUGAACGCUGGCGGCAGGCCUAACACAUGCAAGUCGAGCGGAUGAAGGUAGCUUGCUACCGGAUUCAGCGGCGGACGGGUGAGUAAUGCCUAGGAAUCUGCCCGGUAAUGGGGAUAACGUUUCGAAAGGAACGCUAAUACCGCAUACGUCCUACGGGAGAAAGCAGGGGACCUUCGGGCCUUGCGUUAUCGGAUGAGCCUAGGUCGGAUUAGCUAGUUGGUGAGGUAAUGGCUCACCAAGGCGACGAUCCGUAACUGGUCUGAGAGGAUGAUCAGUCACACUGGAACUGAGACACGGUCCAGACUCCUACGGGAGGCAGCAGUGGGGAAUAUUGCGCAAUGGGCGAAAGCCUGACGCAGCCACGCCGCGUGAGCGAUGAAGGUCUUCGGAUCGUAAAGCUCUGUGGGGGGAGAAGAAGAAAGCCGGUGAAGAGCCGGCCCUGACGGUAUCCCCUUAGCAAGCACCGGCUAACUCCGUGCCAGCAGCCGCGGUAA
rnacentral:rRNA from 1 species